UACGGAGGGUGCGAGCGUUAAUCGGAAUAACUGGGCGUAAAGGGCACGCAGGCGGGUUUUUAAGUUAGGUGUGAAAUCCCCGGGCUUAACCUGGGAAUAGCAUUUCAGACUGGCAGUCUAGAGUCCUGUAGGGAGGGGUAGAAUUCCACGUGUAGCGGUGAAAUGCGUAGAGAUGUGGAGGAAUACCGAUGGCGAAGGCAGCCCCUUGGGAAUGUACUGACGCUCAUGUGCGAAAGCGUGGGGAGCAAACAGG
rnacentral:rRNA from 1 species